UGUCCCGGCAGCUCAGCCGUCCCUCGUGGGCGGUGCACUCUGCCGGGUGCAGGCCAGCAUCAGCUCGUGGCGGGGGAGAAAGGCGGCGGGAACGUGGCUCUUCGGAGUGUUAUAGCCCGCCGCUACGCCCCACCGCGGGCUGAGGUUCGCGCUCCGCAAGGAUGCUGGCGUAAUGGCCAUCAGCGACCCGUCUUGAAACACGGACCAAGGAGCGGUCCUAACAUGCGAGUGUUCGGGUGCAAAACCCCUACGCGGAAUGAAAGUGAACGAAGGUGAGAGCUUCGGCGCAUCAUCGACC
rnacentral:rRNA from 1 species